CCCGCCGGANGCUACCGCUAUUGGAGUUCGAUUANNCCNUGCGAGUCGAGAGUCCUCGGGACUCGGCGUACCGCUCAGUAACACGUGGGUAACCUGCCCUGUGCUGGGGGAUAACCUCGGGAAACUGAGAACAAUACCCCAUAGUCCACUACGCCUGGAACGGUGAGUGGAUGAAAGCCCCGGCGGCACAGGAUGGGCCUGCGGCGUAUCAGGUAGUAGGGGGUGUAAUGUACCCUCUAGCCUUCGACGCGUACGGGUUGUGAGAGCAAUAGCCCGGAGAUGGAUUCUGAGACACGAAUCCAGGUCCUACGGGACGCAGCAGUCGCGAAACCUUGACAAUGCGGGAAACCGUGAUCAGGGGACUCCNANGUGCCAGGAGUAAGAUCCUGUGCUUUUCUUUUCUCUUCAAAGGAUUUGGAAUAAGAGGUGGGUAAGGACGGUGCCAGCCGCCGCGGUAAUACCGGCGCCUCGAGUGGNAGUCGAUUUUAUUGGGCCUAAAACGUCCGUCGCCGGUCU
rnacentral:rRNA from 1 species